GACGUGACUGCUUUGGACAGAUAAAUUAGCUAAUUUACAACCUUCCUAACAAACGGGUGCAUAGCCUAGCCCUAGUGUUUGUCUAUUGAUAUUAAUCAAGAUAAGAGGUGAUGUGAGCUAAUCAUAGACUAAAUACCAAGGGUGCAACACUUCAGCUUCAAGGGAACGACUGUGGAAUAUUCAUGUUCAUGUUUGACAUGCCUGAAUCAGGAGGUGGUGGUGCUAUCAGUUACCACAGGCAUUUCCCCUGGCAAGUUUUUCUAUAAAGCCAAGAGUCAGUCAUCAAACCAAUGAUCUAAACCGGAUCACACCCUUGCUAGACAUCACAGAGAUCACCCCAGCUGCGAGAAUCCAUGACUCGGCUAUGAUGAAACAGAUUCUGCUCACUGUGACUCGGUGGAGGAGUACAGAACCCACUUUUCUGAUUGUGUUCGGAGGAAACCAGUGAUCCAGUACACGGCCAAUGAUGAUGCAAGGGAUGGCUUUCUCCGCCACUGAAGCUAUUCUGAACAACUGAUUUAUCAGAGUGUACUUGCACAGAGAAGCCCAAUCCAAGGUCCAUCAAACAGGAGCAGGGGCCCACUCAGAGCUUGAACCCUGGUCAACAGCAUCCCACGGCACAUUAGGUGAGAUGCCUUGCUGAUACUUAAUAUUAAGUUUUUUAUACCUGGAGUAAAGCGAAUGCAGAACUGACUGACAACAAUGCUAUCAAUGUGUUGCUUGUUUUGUAUUGUCAUUUACAUAUUGAUCAACCUGAAUGGAACAGAAAAUAGAUUGCUUUUGUUAUGUACAUAGGAGGGUUAGAUUAUUUACUGUACAUGUAAUUUCAAGAGUGAAAAACGAAGUGAUUUUUACUUAUUUUCAUGCCUGUUAAAAAUAUGGUAGGCACUCAUUGUGUCUCACCCUUUCCUGGGUGCAUUAACAUUUAAAAACAACAUUUUAUUUAUUCUAUUUAAUAUUUUAUUAAUUUAGGGAAAUGAGCAAGAUUCUUAGCCCUCAUCAGACUAUUUGGAUGUUAUUUAUAGUGUAAAAACAUAAAAUUUAAAGCAGAUGUUUUUGAUGGGUUAGCAUUACUCAACAUUACUUACUACCUUACAGACAGCAACACUACAAUAAUAUAAGGUAAACUAGUAAAAAAAAUCAUAUUUAAUUUAAAUGGAACCGUAAAUCAUUAGGCAAAACUGGAAUCGGAAUGGGAAAAUUUCUUACAGCACCCAACCCUACUGACAAUUACCAUGUUAUUAAAGGGAUAGUUCACCCAAAAAUGAAACUGUUGUUAACUGUUGCUCAACCCUCAUGACAUUUCAAACCUGUAUGACUUACAUUUUUCAGCAGAACACAGAAGAAAAUAUUUUGAAUAAUGUUGGUAACAGAAACAUGAUCCCUAUUGACUUGUACAUUUUUUUGUGUGUCCAUUGAGUAGAAGUCAAUGGGCACCAACGGGGUUGUGUUACAAACAUUGUUCAAAAAAUCUGUUUUUUGUGCUAUGCAAAAGAAAGAAAGGCAUACAGGUUUAAAAUGACGAGCGGGUGAGACUAUGAUGACAAAAUUUUCUUUUUUGGCCAUAUUUUUGUUAUCAUGAUGUAAUAUAGGCACUCCAGUUUAUUGUUUGGCCCCGCCCCUCUGGUUCCUUGUUUAGCUUUCCACCUGUAUUUCAAUACCGACACCUUCCCAUUGUUAUCUUCCUUUGUUAGUCUCUCUAUUAAAUGCCCUUGUGUUUGCUGUCCUGUGCUCGUACGUUUUACUUCUAUCCCUGGUCUGUUAUGCGCGUUACAUUGUGGAUUAUUCCUAAACCUUGUCUGUAUUAGCCUGUGUAGUUGCUGUGUUUAUUUAGUUUAGUCCCUCGUGUAAGUUUAAUUGGGUUCUUGUUCUCCUGGUUUUGCCCCGAAGUGGGUAGUAUUUUGUGUUGCCUUUUUAUUAACCAUGUCUCUGUUGCCCCCCUUCACCGCUGCUGCCUGCAAUUGGGUUCUCUUCUUGUUCACCUUCAUGAUUCAUGACACUUACCACACCUGCUAUGACUGUUUUACCUUUGUUAACAAACUUAGUAACAUCUACAAUCUAUCUCUCUAUCUAUUUACUUUACUGAUGGAGCAUGAAGAGACAGGCAAUGGACAACAGCUCUAGUUUUUCAGCACCCACACACACAUUCAGAUAAGAGUUCUUGUGAAAGUUUGUUACGUUUUGGUGGUUAUAAUUCAUUGUCAAUUCAUUUGAAUUUGAGUGUGUUUAUUCAUUUUUCAAAAAUCAUGUUUUUUUCAUUGUGAAUUAAUAUAAAUCAAACUGCAAUUGGUUUGUUUUGAUUUCAGCCAUAAUAACUAAAAAUAGAGCUAACUAGAGUUUUCUCAUUUUCAAACCAAACUCUUCAAAUAUUCAUCUUUUACAUUUUAUACCAUUUUACCUAACUGUUGAUGUGUUUUUUUAAAGCUUUUAUAAUAAAAACACAUUUUUAGUGCCCAUCGUCGGACGUUUUACGCUCUAUUUAUUACAAUGGAAGGAAGCGACGUACAGCUGUCCAUCUUUUUUACAGUCUAUGACACACAGACACACACAUUACAUAAAUAUACACAUAUACAUAGGAUUUCUGAAAAUAAAGGUUCAUUUUUUUAUUUAGUCCUUUUCUGAACAAGUUAUUAUUAAACAUGAAAUGUUGACAUGUAGUUCAUACCAAAUAAAUAAUUACAGAAUUUCAAAAAAUAACUAAAAGCCCCCUGAUUAUUAUUAAUGUAUGAUGUUUAUGCGCAAUCAAUUACAGUUUUUGUGUUUUUCAUUGUUGUUAAAAGGUUUCUUGUUUGCCCCGAGUCAUUAAACUGUCCACUGAUAUUCAGAAAAAUCAACCAGGUCCUCAAGAAUCUUUGCUUUUUCAGCAUUUCUGUAUCUGCCUCAUAUCUAGCAAUGAUAUUCAGUUUCAUCUGUUAACAUUGAGGACAAUAAAGAGACUGAUACACAACUGUCAUGGUUCCACCAUCUUGUCUUGUCUAUUCUUGAUCUUGGGGCGGAGCCAUGACACAGCCUAAGGUUCUUUGGGGAGAGAGAAGUUGGGCCUUAGGGAUCCUCUCACUCUCUCUCCGAGUCUCGUCUGUGUUUCCAGCCAUAUCACUUCCUUGUUAACUUCCCAUCAAUGUUUCAUCCCCUACACCUGGUCCUGUUCAAUUAUCCUGUGUUUGUUCCCCUUUAAAUACUCCUCAUGUUUCAUUGUACGUUCUACCUUGUAUACCUCAUACGGAGUGUGUUUUGCCAAGUCGUGUCCUGUAUUACCAGUUUACCUUCUACUUUGUGGUUGAAGCUCCUGUCCAGUCUUAUCUUUUGUUAACCCCUUCAUCGCCUGCCUACAAUUGUGUUCUCCCUUCCACCCCUUAUCAUGACACACAACUAUUACAGAUACUAAGCUCAUUUACUCAUAUUCGUAAAAAUGCACCGAUACCAAAGACCGAUAAUUUGUGACAUAAUUGUCAGAACUGACUGAAAUUUGUUGUGAAAUUUGCUUUGAAAGUUUGUGAGAAGUAAUUUUUUUAAUAUAAAAUGAUAAAAAAUUAAGGUGGAGUUGUAAUUAUAAAGCUAUUCUAUUAUUUUAAAUAUCACGUGUUGUGAAAAGGUACAGGCAUCAGUAAAGGAAUCGGUAUCAGCGGGUACCAGAAAAAAUACGGUACUGAAACUUGGUCUUUAAAAUAUGGUUUCAGUGCAUUACACAAAUUCAUUGAUGCCCAUGAAA